rnacentral:lncRNA from 1 species
CUGAAAUUAUAUCAUAUAGAUGUCACAUUUAUGAGUCUUUGCAGUUACAAAAUUCCUCCUGCAUAAGAAAGUUCUUAUUCUUCCCUUGAGAUUCAACUCAAAUGUCUCCUCUGUAACGCCUUUGUCAACAGCCCUCUGCUCCGGCUCCCCAGUGUUCUCUUUGUGCCUCUCUUACAUACAUCACAUCGUGUAAUGAUUAUUUAUUUACACGUCUGAUUCUCUUGCUAGUUUGUGAGCACUUGGAGGAGAAGAGAAACACAGAGCCCGUGUUUAUUCAUCUCUGUAACCCCGACAUCAGACAGCAUAAAUGCUCCAUGUGUGUUAAAACUGGGAGUAGUCGUGCAGCUUUUGGGGCUCUCCUGGUGUUUGCAGGACAAAGUUUGGCACUCUGAUUUCCUAGAUUGUAUGAUCACCGUAAAAGAGCAGACAAAGCAUAUACUUAUUGGCCCUGUUGUCAUCACUGAACCAAAAUCCACAUGGGAGAAGAUAAAGUAAGAAACAACUUCAAAUUAAAACUAACUUUGAUAAUCAGUAAGGACUAGUCUCAAUACCGUCCAGAGGAGGAAUCACCAGAGCUCAAGUCAAAGUCCAUGAAGACUUCCAUGACCCAGGAUUUCUCGCUUCAAGGUCUCAUCUGCUUCCAUUCCUUACGGGGAGAAGCCCCAUUAUUCCCACCACUGGCCACACCCUGGCUCUACCAGCGCGCCAUUGGAGUUAACCGAUCUAACAUCCAACUCAAACAACUUUUGUUUUCCCCUCAAAACAAAACUUUGGAAUCUUCUCUGUUUUUGCCAGUGAUACGAACUUUCUCUCAGCCACUAAAGCUCAGAAAACAGUAGUCCUCGCUCAUCUCAGGGGACACGUUCCAAGACCCCAGUGGAUGCCUGAGACUACAGACAGUACUGAACUCUGUACAUAAUAUGUUUUUUCCUAAACAUAUAUACCUAUGAUAAAGUUUAAUUUAUAAAUUAGACACAGUAAGAGAUUAACAAUAACUGAUAAUAAAAUAGAACAAUUAUAACA